rnacentral:tmRNA from 1 species
GGGGCUGAUAUGGUUUCGACUUCGUGCAUCAAGCCAGGGGAAGCGUGCCGGUGCAGGCUAGAGACCACCGUAAGCGUCGUAGCAACCUCAUAAGCGCCGAGAACACUCAGCGCGACUACGCCCUCGCUGCCUAAUACCAGCGACCGCGUGUCUGUCGGCCCAGGUUCGUCCCUGACCUGGUAGCCGGCAUCGAUCAAGGGACUUUGCCGUCCGGCCGCGUCAGCGGGGCCGUACGGGACUCCCACCGCUGACUGGGCCCAUCAUCCGGAACGUGUUCGUCCGAGCCGGAGGGCCGAGCAGAGAUCAGGCGCGAACUGCGCACGGAGAAGCCCUGGCGCGAUUGCGGAGGACCCGGGUUCAAUUCCCGGCAGCUCCACAA